AACAUUCGAAACAACUGAAAGUGAGGCCUAAUUCCCAGAAAAGCUUUGCAGAAAUGCACAAAGAUAGUAGUGUGAAAGAUGCCAUUGGGAUUCAGAUGGACUAACUCCAACUUGUAGUAAUCAAGAAGGCCUCGAAAGAAAUUGCAGGUCGGCAACCCAAGAUCUCGCUCGAUGAAGUGUAGAAGGUUACCGUCUCAUUUGGAUAUGAUUCCAACAGGCAGGAAUUUCCAAGGGCGGAUCUCCAUUGAAUGUAGCACCGGUCUUGCAAAAGUUUUGCAAUGACAAGAGCCUUGAUGUCACCCUCAGUUGCCUUCGACUCCUUCCAAACGCACUCGGCGUUGGGCAGCGCGGUCUGAUUGGUCUUGUUGUACUUAGGCACCGGCAACUAAGAUUCCUUCCCCUUGCCAGAUCUUUUCUUCUUCUUCUCGCCAUCAGCGGGCUUGGAUGCAGCAGUCUUCCUCCCCAUCCUUGAUGUCACGAGCAUCUUCAGUUGCAUAUGCUCGGGGGCUAGGAAGGAUGGAGGGUGGUGGCAUAAAUGCUUGGAGAUUGGGUAGUGGUAGCGGCACUAGGGCUAUAGUACAGAAGUUGGAAAGGUAAAUGGCAAGGGUAAAAUGGAAGGCAUAAACUUCCUCCAUUAUUUAUAACAAUGGCACAGUAAAAACUGUGCAAGUGAAUGAUUUUUUAUUUAAAGGAUCCCAAAAUUCAAGAAACCUGAUUGGUGGUUACUUUUAUUUCGGAAAGAGAAUUGGAUAUUCCAAGAGAUGGUCACGUUGACAAAGUUUGACCCUUACACCCACCAAACUAGUUAGCCAAAGGCUCAGGGAUUAUGUGCCACAUGUCUAUCGACAAAAUAGUUUUUUCUCCAGGUUUUAAGGGGAAAGUGAUGCAAAUUACAGAUUCAUCCUCAGCCUAAUUCUUUGAUUCAACCUAAGGAUCGGGGGCUACUCCAUAUGGAGUACGACUUUCGUCGCAUUUCCAUACAUAACUCAAGAUUGAAG
rnacentral:lncRNA from 1 species